rnacentral:rRNA from 1 species
UACAGAGGCCUCGAGCGUUAGGCGGAAUCACUGGGCUUAAAGCGUGUGUAGGCGGACUUCUAAGUACCUUGUGAAAUCCCACGGCUUACCCGUGGAACGGCUGGGUAUACUGGUUGUCUUGAGCCACUUAGGGGCUACCGGAACAAAUGGUGGAGCGGUGAAAUGCGUAGAUAUCAUUUGGAACGCCAAUGGUGAAAACAGGUAGCUGGGAGUGUGCUGACGCUGAGACACGAAAGCCAGGGGAGCGAACGGGG